UGAAAAUCAUGAAUAGAUCUGGUUUGACGUCUAGAAGACGUAGAGAAAACAAGGUUAACUGUAUAAUUGAUACAGAAAAUGAAAUGUUAAUAUUACGCCAUGUCUGCGGUCAUGUUGGAGUAUCACCGGGGUCUUUCAUAUUUCCUUGGUUUGGAAUGUAUCACAUCGCCGCUCCUGUAUGUGCAUUUGUCCCAGCUGUUGGCCUAUUUAGUGCAUAAGGGAGUUUGAUUCUGUUACCCUUAUAGUGAUGUCGAGGUUAUCCCUUUUUGGUGGUAACGUUGGCUUAAUGACACACAAUUAUUUAGUCAGUAUGAGAAAGAAGGAAGUCACUGUAUCUGCUCAUAACAAGAAGAUAGAAUUCACGAGACGCUUAUAAUAAGUCAUAACUUUUAUUACUGGAGCUAAUGCGUUCAUAUACAAGGUUAAUAGAAGGAAGCUUAUAACAUUACAUGAAUAUGUUCUGUUUGCAGUCACAUGUCUCCAAGUAAGAAAAGCGAACGAGUGCGCGAGUGGGCAUGAAAUGCGGCAACUUGAUCCAGUACGCGUCGAAGAAUCAACAGGUACUGAAUGACGCGAAUUUAGAAUUUUCUUCCUUAUAUAAAGUAUGGACCGGAAGUCCCCGAACGUUCUAGAAGCUCGAGGGAGAUUACUCUCGUUACAUCCCUUUUCCGUUUUGCUUGUCGUAACGCCCAAGGGUCACUACAUCCUUGUCUGCACCGUGUGUCUGGCUGUUGGUUCAUCUGAUAUUGAGAAUAGAAGGAUGUCUAGUUCCUUUUUUGAACACAUCUACUUCCACCUUACGAAGAUUUCUUAAUUUUUGUGGUAGGGCACCGAAGAGCUGUAAGCUUUUGAGCCCUAGACUAUCGCAGUACCUGAUCCUGAAUUUAGAAGGGGUGGAUGGUACCUUUGAUACGUUAUAAUGGCGGCCAGUCUCAGAGAAAUUCUGAAGUAGUCCUUGAACCUUAUUUUGGGUUUUUAUGUGCUGGCCUCCUACUAUCCUCCUACUAUCCUCUUUCUCACCAUGCAAAAGUUGCUUAAGAAGCCUUGUAUCUUCAUUCUCACCAGAUGUUCACCCCACCUCAAACGACUUGGCAGAAUCAUCGAUUCUCCACUCCUACUACCAUUUCUCUCAACUACCUCCACAUCACUGAUCGCCGAUCUCCAAUUUAUCCCAAGAAUUUUCCAAAGACGAUACUGAUGAUAUCGUUCCAAAUGCCUUAAAUGCCUACAAUAAACAUUCCACGUCUCACUUCCAUAGAGUAAUAAUAAUGGCAGAAUACAUGUGCUAUAAACCCUAAGUUUAGUCUGGGUAGAUAUACUAUGGCUCGACCAGAGACGCUUGUCAAGCCCACCAAAAACACUAUAGGUCUUGCUGAUUCUUUAUGGAAUUUCAUUAUCAAAACCAGUACUUCCUAAAUAAAUGGAUUUGGUUACAACUUCCAACCUUGAAUGUCCAGCAAUCGCCAUGAUAGAUCGCUAGCCACUAAACCUUUUUUCCUAUUUUCUCUCCCUGUUUAUUUCUGUGUUCCUUUUUGUUGAAGAGCGUAGGUUCGAUACGUAAAAGACUUUCUCACUUCCCGAGCGUUUAAAAAUUACAUAUCUGUUUGUUGUUUA